AGAAUUCUAAGGUGAGCGAGCGAACUCUCGUUAAGGAACUCGGCAAAAUGACCCCGUAACUUCGGGAGAAGGGGUGCUCUUUGAGGUUCACGCUUCGAAGAGCCGCAGUGAAUAGGCCCAAGCGACUGUUUAUCAAAAACACAGGUCUCUGCUAAACCGUAAGGUGACGUAUAGGGGCUGACGCCUGCCCGGUGCUGGAAGGUUAAGAGGAGUGGUUAGCGCAAGCGAAGCUACGAAUCGAAGCCCCAGUAAACGGCGGCCGUAACUAUAACGGUCCUAAGGUAGCGAAAUUCCUUGUCGGGUAAGUUCCGACCCGCACGAAAGGCGUAACGAUUUGGGCACUGUCUCAACGAGAGACUCGGUGAAAUCAUAGUACCGGUGAAGAUGCCGGUUACCCGCGACAGGACGGAAAGACCCCGUGGAGCUUUACUGUAGCCUGAUAUUGAAAUUCGGUACAGUUUGUACAGGAUAGGUAGGAGCCUUAGAAGCGUGAGCGCUAGCUUACGUGGAGGCAUUGGUGGGAUACUACCCUAAUUGUAUUGGAUUUCUAACCCGCAGCACUUAUCGUGCUGGGAGACAGUGUCAGGCGGGCAGUUUGACUGGGGCGGUCGCCUCCUAAAGAGUAACGGAGGCGCUCAAAGGUUCCCUCAGAAUGGUUGGAAAUCAUUCAUAGAGUGUAAAGGCAUAAGGGAGCUUGACUGCGAGACCUACAAGUCGAGCAGGGUCGAAAGACGGACUUAGUGAUCCGGUGGUUCCGCAUGGAAGGGCCAUCGCUCAACGGAUAAAAGCUACCCCGGGGAUAACAGGCUUAUCUCCCCCAAGAGUUCACAUCGACGGGGAGGUUUGGCACCUCGAUGUCGGCUCAUCGCAUCCUGGGGCUGUAGUCGGUCCCAAGGGUUGGGCUGUUCGCCCAUUAAAGCGGUACGCGAGCUGGGUUCAGAACGUCGUGAGACAGUUCGGUCCCUAUCCGUCGUGGGCGUAGGAAAUUUGAGAGGAGCUGUCCUUAGUACGAGAGGACCGGGAUGGACAUACCUCUGGUGUACCAGUUGUCGUGCCAACGGCAUAGCUGGGUAGCUAUGUAUGGACGGGAUAAGUGCUGAAAGCAUCUAAGCAUGAAGCCCCCCUCGAGAUGAGAUUUCCCAACUUCGGUUAUAAGAUCCCUCAAAGAUGAUGAGGUGAAUAGGUUCGAGGUGGAAGCGUAGCGAUACGUGGAGCUGACGAAUACUA
rnacentral:rRNA from 1 species